rnacentral:lncRNA from 1 species
GUGCUAUCGAUGUGAUGAGUUGGGGCAUCGUGUCAGAGAUUACCCUCAACUCAAAGAUCGGAUGAUGGCUACUACGGCGACGGUCUGUAGCGAGUCAGAGGAUGAUGUCUUAGUAAUAUCUGAUGAGGUAUCUACUUCUUCUCAAUAGUAAAUUUUAGAUUCUAUAUGCACCCAUCAUGUAUAUUAUAGAGAGGAGCUAUUUGACUCUC